AGGCAGGAAAAUUGCUUGAACCCAGGACGUGGAGGUGGCAGUGAGCCGAGAUCAUGCCAUUGCACUUCAGCCUGGGUGACAACUGGUGACAAGAGUGAAACUCCAUCGCAAAAAAAAAAAAAAGUCAUUAUUUUGAGUCUUUAGACUUAAAGCUAAAGGCUUAAGCCAAUUAAUUCUCAAAGGUGAUAUCCUUUGAGUCUAGAUUCAAGGAUAAAUCAACAGACCAGGGAGAAGGCAGUACCACAUCUAGUAUCAGAGGCACGUUAGAUCAAUUACUUUUCAUAAAAUUUUGAACACUGUGAAUCAGAUAUGUUCCCCAAUAUUCACUCAUUGCCUUCCUUUCCAUUUAGAGAAGAGAUGGAAAGAAAAGGAAUAGAAACAUGAGGCCAGACUGAGCAAAGUGGUUGCUUACUUUAUGAUGCUAAGAUGGUGGAUUUUAGACUGCAUUUCAUAGCACACUAUUCCUGUCUGUGAAGACCUCUAGGUAUUCUGAGAUCGAGAAAGGUCAAAUUAAUCUCAAUGAUGUGUCAAAUUAGUAAUCAUAUUAAUUCCAUAUUGUCACCUGCUCUUUGGCAGGUUUGAUAAACCAUGUGUUAAAUCGAUUAUGCAAAUAAUUUUAGCUAAAUUAAAACAUCUGUUCCACACAUCACCAGAUUUCAAGGUGAAAGUCUUCCUGAAGGUGAGUUUUUAGUCCCACAUUAAAUAUGACAUGUAUUUUGGCUACGUUGUGCAUUGGUUUGCCAGCAUCACAAUCACCAUUUGUGUCUUUCUUUUCUUAUGCCAGACAUUGAGAUGCUACAUUUUGGCAGCAUUUGACAAAAAGCUAGUUUGUUUUUCAUACAUAAUACAUAUUGACAUAAACCGUAAAACUUGGAAUGAAAAAUAUGGCAUGACUAUAAGAGAUGUAUCUUUUCACUUCAUGAAAGGAUGACUCAUGGGGCCACAAAGGGCAAAUAGGGUGGAUGCGUUGGAAAUCCCUCCAGGAGACCCCAACAAAAUAUAUAGGCAUUUGACAACUCCUAGAGCUUAUUGUCUUAGUCUGUGUUGCUAUAACAAAAUACCACACACUGGGUAAUUUAUAAACAAUAGAAAUUUAAAUUCUCACUGUUCUGAAGUCUGGGAAGUCCAAGAUCAAGACACCAGCAGAUUCAGUGUCAGGUGAGGGCUGCUCUCUGCUUCCAUGAUGGUUCCCAUUGCUGCCUCCUCUGAAGGAGAGGAACACUGUGUCCUCACAUGGUGGAAGAGACAAAAGAACAAGAGAAUGCUCCCUUCCACCUUCUGCCCUUUUAUAAGGGUGCUAAUCCCAUUUAUGAGGGUGGAGCCUGCAUGAUUUAGUCACCUCCCAAGGGCCACACCUCUUAAUACUGUUGCAUUGGGGAUUAGGCUUCAACAUGAAUUUUGGAGGGGACACUAUUAGUCAAACCAUAGCACUUGCCUACUCAUUUCUCCUUUUCCAUGAGAUCACUUGGCCUUGAGUUUGUAACUAUGUCUUCAUUUUCUCUGCCGCCAUCUUUCCUUAGUUGCAUUUUCAAUAGAGAAGAAUGAAGUAAUUCACAAACUUUAGUUUUGCAUAAGAAUCAACUGGGGAAUGUGUUAAAAGUACAAGGAUUAUCGUUUAGAAGGAUUAUCUUAGUAGGGUGGAGCCCAGAAAUCUGUGUUUUUUAAGCACUCAUGGUCAUUCUGAUUUAGUGGUCUGUGGUCUGCAUUGGGAGAAACACUUGGUAGAGGAUGAUUAAGAGCAUGGACCUUGGAGUGUGACAUCCCUGGAUAUGAAUUCUUCCUCUGUCACUAAUUCUUCUGUGGUCCUGGGCAAGUUAUUUAGUAUAAGUCUCAGUUUCCUAGCCUAUAUAAUGGGAUACUACAACAUGGAUGAAACUUGAAAACACUAUGCUAAAUGAAAUAAGCCAGAAAUACAUGAUUCCACUUAUAUGCAGUAUCUGUAACAGGCAAAUUCAUAGAGACAAAGUAGACUAGUGGCUACCAGGUGGUUGGGGGAAGAAGGAAUAGGAAGUUUUUGUUUAAUGGGUACAAAGUUUUUGUUUGGGAUGGUGAAAAAGUUCUGGAAAUGGGUGGUGGUGAUUGUCCCACAGCAUUGUGAAUAUACUUAAUACUGAAUUGUACACUUAAAAUUUUGGUAAAAUUUUGUUAUGUAUAUCUCACCACAAUCAAAUGAAAGGUGUGGCCAUGAAGAAAUGAGAAUAAAUUUUCAAGUUGUAUUCUUAAAAAAUAGGAACAAUAAUUCCUGUACCCUAAGGUUGUUGUGAAUAUUGAGUGAGAUAGUAUAUGAAAAGUGUUUACUUAGUACAGGGCCUGACAUGUAACAAAUGCUCCGGGGAUGGUAGGUAGCUACCACCCAGUAACAGGCGACAGCUCCUUCUGGUAUUCAGCAGCAUAUCACGGGCCGUUCUGAGCAGGUGAGUGGUUAUGUCGACCAGGUCAGAGACUGCUCAGCUCUCUAGGGAACAUUCACACUGUUUGAGGUGAUUCCUCCACCCGCUGGGUCCCAAUUCUAGAAAUCCUCUCGAAGAGGCCGUCUCACUCCACAGGAUUCUUCCCUGUUCCACUGUACUGACAGAGGAGACACCACUGGAACAACGUUUUUCUUUCCAUGCUAUCCCUUGAGGGAGGCGAGAACUCCACCCAGCAACACAGUAGAGAACAGGAGAUGGGAAGCCUCAUCCGGGCACUCCGCCUGGCUUCUCUGAAGCUCUCAAUCCCCCACCACCUGACACCCCUUCCUCUUUCUCUCUCCUUUGAAUCAUCUCAAUUUUAUCCCAAACUUGGAAUACUGUGGACUCUAAAACUUUAUCCUUAAACAUCCUUUUGAGAAUAACUCCCACAGUUGCAAAUAGCGAGAAUUGAGAUUAUGACAGUAAGUUAAAUUUAAUUACAAAAGUACCUCUUUGUUUUCCCUUGGAUUUAUUUUAGCAUUGAUGAAGCAAAUAUAAUUUUCAUUUUAAUGAGUUUCAGCUCCCACUGGUACUAAGCCGCUUUGUUUAGGUGUUAAAUAUUACAGAGUCAUUAAAGGCUUUUCUUACACUUUUUUAAUCUUUCUUCCCAAAUCCCAUCAGAAAAAAAUGUCUAGCUUUAUUUUGUUUUUAUUUUUAAAGCGUUGAUGAAAAAAUAAAUGAAUUUUCUUUGUAAAAGGUAAUGACUAAGUCAUUCAUCUGUGGAUGGGAAGGGGUCGGCCACACAGUGGGAGACAUCUCCCUAACUGGAGUUUCAAAAAUGGUCUUCACAGCCAGGCACGGUGGAUCACACCUGUAAUCCCAGCACUUUGGGAGGCCAAGGCGGGCGGAUCACUUGAGGCCAAGAGUUCGAGACCAGCCUGGCCAACAUGAUGAAACCCCAUCUCUGCUAGAAAAACAAAAAUAAGCUGGGCGUGGUAACGGGUGCCUGUAAUCCUUGCUACUUGGGAGGUGGGAGGGAGACAUUAUGGGAAGGUGAUGGGCAGAACUGCACAGGAACAAAGGUCAUCUUAUUUUGCAGAUUAAGUUUCCCAGGUAAUCUCUUGAAGCUUCCUUCAGAAGAAUAGAAGAAAAGUCUGUCUGGGCAUGGUGAUGACUUCCAACAUCUUCUCUUCUCUGGUGAGUGAUCUUUCCUGGUUAUUUGCUGAGACCCCCUAGGGAGGGGAUCCUAAGAAAAAUUGCAUUUCUUUUGGAAAAAAGCUUUCUUGGUUAGACAAGGAAAUUCCAGAGAGAGUCUCUCCCUAUGCUUGGGAGGGGGUGGAGACAAGACAAGGUUAGGGGAACCUUGAUUCUGAGGCAGCUUCUAAGGCCUCUCAGCAUGUCAAAGCACAGUCUUUGGGGUAUCACUUUUGAGCCCUAACAGCAUAUCUGAACAUGUAGGGAUAAAAUGAAAUGGUACCUAGGAUUUGCUUUCUUUUUUCUUUUUUUUUUUUUUUGAGACAGUCUCUCACUCUGUUGCCCAGGCUGGAGUGCGGUGGCAUGAUCUCAGCUCACUGCAACCUCUGCCUCCUGAGUUCAAACAAUUCUCCCGCCUCAGCCUCCCAAGUAGCUGGGAAUACAGGCGUGCACCGCCAUGCCCAGCUAAUUUUUUGUAUUUUUAGUAGAGUUGGGGUUUCACCAUGAUGGCCAAGCUGGUUUCUAACUCCUGACCUCAAGUGAUCCGCCCACCUCGACCUCCCAAAGUGCUAGGAUUACAGGCGUUAGCCACUGCACCCGGCCUAGGAUUCGCUUUCAAAGGAAAGAGAUAGAUGAAGCAAAUAUGACAGAAACUUGAUAAUUGUUGACUCUG
rnacentral:lncRNA from 1 species